rnacentral:tRNA from 1 species
AGCACCGUAGCUCAACACGGUAGAGCAGGUUUUAACUAACAAAACCAAUGCAGGUUCGAAUCCUGUCGGAGCGACCA